rnacentral:rRNA from 1 species
GACGAACGCUGGCGGCGUGCUUAACACAUGCAAGUCGAACGGUGAAGCGCCUGCUUUUUUGGUGGGUGUGGAUGAGUGGCGAACGGGUGAGUAACACGUGAGUAACCUGCCCCCUUCUUCUGGAUAACCGCAUGAAAGUGUGGCUAAGACGGGAUAUUCUGGUUCUGUCGCAUGAUGGGUCUGGGUAAGAUAUUGUUUCAGUGGGGGAUGGGCUCGCGGCCUAUCAGCGUGUUGGUGGGGUGAUGGCCUACCAAGGCGGUGACGGGUAGCCGGCCUGAGAGGGUAGCCGGUCACAGUGGGACUGAGGCACGGCCCGGACUGCUACGGGAGGCAGCAGUGGGGGAUAGUGCACAGUGGGGGCAAGCCUGAUGCAGCGACGCCGCGUGAGGGAUGGAGGCCUGCGGGUUGUGAAGCUCUUUCGCCAGUGAAGCAGGCCUGCCUCGUAUGUGGGUGGGUUGACGGUAGCUGGAGAAGAAGCGCCGGCUAACUACGUG